rfam:Chlorocebus sabaeus isolate 1994-021 chromosome 28, whole genome shotgun sequence.
GGGUUUGGAUUUAUAUCAGGCCCAUCCCCCUGGACCUCAUGCCAGAGCAAACUGUGGCCCCGAACCAUUGCCUGGCCUCUGUACCCAUGGGCCACUGGCACUGAAAAGGGUUACCCAGUG